rnacentral:rRNA from 1 species
AGAGGUGGCAAGCGUUGUUCGGAAUUACUGGGCGUAAAGGGCGCGUAGGCGGUUCGUUAAGUCCUGUGUGAAGUCCCCCGGCUCAACUGGGGAACUGCACAGGAAACUAGCGGGCUUGAGUUCGGGAGAGGGAAGCGGAAUUCCGGGUGUAGCGGUGAAAUGCGUAGAUAUCCGGAGGAACACCGGUGGCGAAGGCGGCUUCCUGGACCGACACUGACGCUGAGGCGCGAAAGCUAGGGGAGCAAACGGGAUUAGAUACCCCGGUAGUCCUAGCUGUAAACGAUGAGUGCUGGGUGUAGGGGGUAUUAACCCCCCCUGUGCCGAAGCUAACGCAUUAAGCACUCCGCCUGGGGAGUACGGUCGCAA